rnacentral:rRNA from 1 species
AUUGAACGCUGGCGGAAUGCUUUACACAUGCAAGUCGAACGGCAGCACGGGGCAACCUGGUGGCGAGUGGCGAACGGGUGAGUAAUACAUCGGAACGUGCCCAAUCGUGGGGGAUAACGUAGCGAAAGUUACGCUAAUACCGCAUACGAUCUACGGAUGAAAGCGGGGGAUCGCAAGACCUCGCGCGAAUGGAGCGGCCGAUGUCAGAUUAGGUAGUUGGUGGGGUAAAGGCUCACCAAGCCAACGAUCUGUAGCUGGUCUGAGAGGACGACCAGCCACACUGGAACUGAGACACGGUCCAGACUCCUACGGGAGGCAGCAGUGGGGAAUUUUGGACAAUGGGCGCAAGCCUGAUCCAGCCAUUCCGCGUGCAGGACGAAGGCCUUCGGGUUGUAAACUGCUUUUGUACGGAACGAAACGGUCUGCCCUAAUACGGUGGGCUAAUGACGGUACCGUAAGAAUAAGCACCGGCUAACUACGUG